CAGCCGCCGCGGUAAUACCGGCGGCCCGAGUGGCGGUCACUAUUAUUGGGCUUAAAGCGUCCGUAGCCGGGCUGGUAAGUCCUCCGGGAAAUCUGGUCGCUUAACGAUCAGACUUCCGGAGGAUACUGCUGGCCUAGGGACCGGGAGAGGCCGAGGGGAUUCCCGGGGUAGGGGGGAAAUCCUGUAAUCCCGGGAGGCCCAGCUGUGGCGAAGGCGCUCGGCUGGAACGGGUCCGACGGUGAGGGACGAAGGCCAGGGGAGCGAACCGGAUUAGAUACCCGGGUAGUCCUGGCUGUAAACGAUGCGGACUAGGUGUCGGGCAAGCUAAGGGCUUGUCCGGUGCCGCAGGGAAGCCGUUAAGUCCGCCGCCUGGGGAGUACGGCCGCAAGGCUGAAACUUAAAGGAAUUGGCGGG
rnacentral:rRNA from 1 species